AUGGCGGCGGCGGUGGCGGCGGCGGCGGCUGCAGCGGCGGCGGCUGCAUCCCUUCAGGUGCUGGAGAUGGAGAGCAUGGAGACUGCCGCCGCCGCCGGCUCCGCGGGCCUGGCCGCCGAGGUCCGGGGUAGCGGUACGGUCGACUUCGGCCCGCCACCCGCCGGGAUCUCUGCGAUGGAAGCGAGCGGCGGCGACCCGGGCCCGGAGGCCGAAGACUUCGAGUGCAGCACUCACUGCUCGGAGCUGUCGUGGCGGCAGAACGAGCAGCGGCGUCAAGGCCUCUUCUGCGACAUCACUCUGUGCUUCGGCGGGGCCGGGGGCCGCGAGUUCCGUGCGCACCGCUCGGUGCUGGCCGCCGCCACCGAGUACUUCACCCCUUUGCUGUCCGGUCAGUUCUCCGAGUCGCGCUCGGGCCGGGUGGAGAUGCGUAAGUGGAGUUCGGAACCGGGGCCCGAACCGGACACGGUGGAAGCGGUGAUCGAGUACAUGUACACCGGGCGCAUCCGAGUGAGCACCGGCAGCGUGCACGAGGUGCUGGAGCUGGCCGACAGAUUCCUCUUGAUCCGUUUAAAGGAAUUUUGUGGAGAAUUUCUCAAGAAAAAGCUUCAUCUGUCAAAUUGUGUGGCCAUUCAUAGCUUAGCUCACAUGUAUACCCUGAGCCAACUUGCUCUGAAAGCUGCUGAUAUGAUACGGAGAAAUUUCCAUAAAGUCAUUCAGGAUGAAGAAUUUUAUACUUUACCUUUCCAUCUCAUUCGAGACUGGCUCUCCGACUUGGAAAUCACAGUUGAUUCUGAAGAGGUUCUCUUUGAAACCGUUUUGAAGUGGGUUCAGAGAAAUGCCGAAGAGCGAGAGAGAUACUUUGAAGAACUCUUUAAGUUGCUUAGGCUCUCCCAGAUGAAGCCUACCUACCUUACUCGCCACGUCAAGCCCGAGAGGCUGGUGGCCAGCAACGAAGUUUGCGUCAAGUUGGUGGCCGAUGCAGUGGAGAGGCACGCCCUCCGAGCUGAGAAUAUACAGUCGGGCACAUUCCAGCAUCCUGCUUCUCAUGUCUCCUUAUUGCCUCGCUAUGGGCAAAAUAUGGACGUGAUCAUGGUCAUUGGAGGCGUGUCAGAAGGAGGGGACUAUCUAAGUGAGUGUGUAGGCUACUUCGUUGAUGAAGAUAGAUGGGUAAACCUGCCCCACAUUCAUAAUCACCUUGACGGACAUGCCGUAGCAGUGACAGAAUCGUACGUCUACGUUGCUGGAUCAAUGGAACCGGGGUUUGCUAAAACUGUGGAAAGGUACAACCCAAAUUUGAAUACCUGGGAGCAUGUUUGUAGUCUGAUGACGAGAAAGCAUUCUUUUGGGCUAACAGAGGUCAAAGGGAAGCUGUAUAGCAUUGGGGGGCAUGGCAACUUUAGCCCCGGCUUUAAAGACGUGACUGUUUACAACCCGGAGCUUGAUAAGUGGCACAACCUGGAGUCAGCACCAAAGAUCCUUCGCGACGUCAAAGCCCUCGCCAUCGAAGACCGGUUUGUGUACAUUGCCGCCCGCACUCCUGUGGACCGGGACACCGAGGACGGGUUAAAGGCUGUCAUUACGUGCUACGAUACGGAGACGCGACAGUGGCAAGAUGUAGAAUCUUUGCCACUGAUUGACAAUUACUGUUUUUUCCAGAUGUCUGUAGUGAAUUCAAACUUUUAUCAGACAGCCUCCUGCUGUCCCAAGAGUUAUUCUUUAGAAAAUGAAGAGGCAGUAAGAAAAAUCAGCAGCCAGGUGUGUGAUGAAAUCCUUGAAAGCCUGCCUCCAGAAGUCCUGAGCAUUGAAGGAGCAGCCAUCUGCUAUUACAAAGACGACGUCUUUAUCAUCGGAGGCUGGAAAAACAGCGAUGACAUUGACAAGCAGUAUCGGAAGGAAGCCUACCGGUACUGUGCCGAGAGAAAGAGGUGGAUGCUCCUUCCGCCCAUGCCACAGCCUCGCUGCAGAGCCACUGCUUGUCACGUGCGGAUCCCCUACCGCUACCUGCACGGCACCCAGAGAUAUCCUAUGCCUCAAAACUUAAUGUGGCAGAAAGACCGCAUCAGACAGAUGCAAGAGAUACAUCGGCACGCCCUGAACAUGCGCCGAGUGCCAAGCUCCCAGAUUGAAUGCUGAGUUCUCUUAACUGUGCAGCUAAAACUGUUUUCCCUGUUCCAAGAGACUGAAGAUAGCCAGACUGUUACUUGAGAAAAACGGUUGGUUUCAACAAGAUCAAAAUUUGUGCAUUAAGCUCUCAUCUGCAGGAGGCAUGUGCAAUAGUGAGGCUGAAAUCUGAAGAGACAAGCGCAAUAUUGCAGCAAGGUGAUCUCAGAAUGCUUGCAUCCCAAUGUGCUGUAUUAAACGUGUAGAAAUGCUAUUUUGUUCAUUAGAGGGGCUGACUGAUAAGUUUAUGUUUGGCUCAUGAAUUUUUUUUAAAUCUUUAUUUUCACAGUUGUUUAUGACUUCACGUCACUCUCAGAGGAGUAGUUGGCAAAUGUAUUGGUCUUUAGGUGGUUGGAUGCAGAGCAAGUUACACAGGUGACAUCUGUCUCUAAGGAGAAAAGUAUAAGUAUAGGCUGAGAAAUCAGAAGACUAAAAAUGUUUAAAUACUUUGAGGAGUUGCGGAUAUGUUAAUGAGAUUAAAUAAUGCCUAAGACAAUCAACACUAAAUGCCUUCAGUUUUAAUUUUUUGCUCUAAUGCAUAUCAUAUAAGGUCUUCAUCUUUUUUUUUCUACAGGAAACAGUUUUUAAAAAGAGAAGGGGUUAACACUGGAUAUCAAAUUUGAGUGCAUAGUUUGGGUUCUUAAAUUCACUGUGAAUUCAUAUGAUUCUCUGACACACUCCUAACUAAGCCUGAUGCAAGUUAGCAUUCAGGCUAAGUCUUUUCAGCACUCGGUUAAAAUAAAAAAGAUUCCUGUUCAAGUUGGGCAUGGUGGUACUCACCUGUGAUCUCCUCACUUGGGAGGCAAAGGCAGGAGGAUCAGGAAUUCAAAAAAACCAACAACUGCCACCAAUAAAAUAAUAAUGAGAUAAAAUAAAGACUCCUGAUAUUUUGCACUGUGGAUAGUGUAUUUUUUUUUAAUUUCUUAAGGAAUAUCUUUAUUUCCUUACAUGUUCUAGAAUACCAUUGCAAAAGUCCAAGUGCAGCAAUCCCCCUUCCCCAGCCCAUUACAGUGGUAAGCUAUCAGGGGAAGAAAAGCACAACCAGAAAAUGUGGCAUUUGGUUGCAAGACUUAAUAAUGCUUUAGCUCUUGGAUUCUCUACUGAUAACUUUCCUAAAAUCUCCAAGUCAGUGUCCCUGGGCAGGACAAAGGUUUUUAAUGUUGGACAUUGACAGGUAAGCUGAAGUGAGGGCAAGAAAGCUCCAGUCCUUUCUACAUAAGGAUGUGUUAUCCUAUCCCCACUAGCUACCUUCUCAGUUUCCGUUUCUUUGGAGGGUUUGUGAUUCUGAAAGUUGAGCCAAGGGCCCUCCAUGUGUACACCCCAGUGAGUUGCAGCCCUAGCCCUCCCAUUGUGAUUUGAACACAAAAACCUUUGGGUUUUAAAGAAACAAACUUCCCAUGCAGACAAUUAAGUUACUGAGUGAAACUCAUGAAUGAAGCGUUCAUUUCUCUGGCAGACUACAAGCAGCCUUUUCUGUUAAAAUGAGUUGUGAUCUCACCAGAAUGCCAGUUUUCUUCAAAGAGUGUGAUACAUAUUUUGAUUAUUUUUUGCCUCAGAGUUGUCUUCUAAGACAGUCAUUACCAAUUUAUUUAUAUGAUCAUCUUUUCACUUAUGAUUAGGUAUAAUCUGGUUUUAAAGGCUUGAUUGAAACUUGUUUCUUAACUCGGCAGGCAGCCUGGGCCCGUGAUGAAUGAAGGGGUAAGUCCUUCAUUGCAUGAUGGUGUGCAGGUUUUCCUGACUACUGAGUUUCUAAUUUACAUAUUGAAUUCACACGUGUGAUUUCCCCAUCAAUAACUGUUUCCUAAAAAGUCUAACUAACUUGUUAGUAAGAAACCAGAUUUGCUUAAAUCUGUUCAAGACUGACAUUCUGAAAUUUUAAACUAGGAACAAUUCAGUGUUUUGAAUAGUUCUAAAUAUGAUAGGCAUGCAGGCCCUAACUCACAUGACUCUUUGGGAAAGAGAUUUCCUUUAAAGAUUGUGUUUGGAAAUUUAAGCGCUUAAAAACAUAGCUUAAAAAAACAACAAAAAGCAGAUUAAUGUGUACUCAAGCAAACCUUCAUUUUGGAGUAAAAAUUGAGAAUGUCAGUCAUGAGCUUAGUGUUUAAGUAAAGCACCCCACUUCCAGCUUGCAUGGUUCAUCCCCCUUUUGCUGUGCCAGUUGAUCACUUUUAAAAUUCAGUGACAGCCAGGUGGGGUGGCACAUAUCCUUAAUCCCAGCACCUGGGAGGCAGAGAUAGAACUGCUGUGAGUUCAAGGCCAGCUUAGGACUACAGAGUUGAAUGCCAAGUCAGUCUGGGAUAGAGUGAUACCCUACCUAGGUGAAAAAAAGAAAGAAAGAAAAAAAAAAACGGCAAUGGUUUUGUUUUGAUCAUCUGGUUAUGUGUCCUAAUGCUGGGACAGCCAAAACAAAACACAGCAAAAAACCACCUUUUUAAUAUUGGAAUCAAGCUUGAAACUGGAGAGAGUAUUUAUGGAAGAUUUGUGUACUUUUGUGUUUUAAACCCCUCAGGUAGCUGGUAGGCAAUUUCUAGUGCACACUUGGCUCUAUCUCUUGAUUGGUAUAAUAGCAUGUGCUAGGUGUAAGAACUUCCUUUCUGCUUCGUGAUUAUAAUAUCAACACUGUAAGUAGCCUGGUGAGCUGUGUUACCCAUUUGACUUUCUUGGUGUAUCCUGGCUCUUGAGUAAAAAGGGCAUGUUGGUCAUAUUUCGUGUCUUUGAAAGUAUACCGUAUUGUGACAUAAAUAUUCUUCCUACACUAGAAAAUACGGUGCUUUCCCUGUAGAAUAUUCAAGAACCAUUCAGUCUGAAUACUGUCGUACAGCGUAUCGCUCCAGUUUGUUACUUUCUGGAGAAAAGUGCUUUGUUAUAAUGCUUGUAUUAGAUCAUAUGUUCUGGUCAUUGAAAACAAGACAGCCUAUAGGCAAGGGCUAUAAUAUAACGACAAUAAUUUAGUAGACUGUCAUGUUGCUUCAAGGCAUUAAUUAACUAGCCAAAUCACUGCUCUUGGUUGAAGACCACUGCAGGGUUUUCAUCUCGCUCCGUGGCCACGACUGGGAACGGGUCACCUUGGAGAGCGCGCGCCAGAGCACUUGCUAGGUAGUCCUCCUGCUCCGUGCACGCGGGAAGGCUGAGCUGUGCGCUCUUGGUGUUUGGAGACUUUAUGAUCCAUGUGCUAGGGCUUGUUGCGUUAUUUGUAAAAUAAAUACUUAGUUUAUAUCAGUUAUCAGUGUUUUUUUUUUUUGUUUGUUUUUUGUUUUUUGUUUUUGCUAGCAAUACCCAGGCACCUAUGCAAGGUAUAAUCUUGACUAUCUCCUCCAAGGAGGUAUAGUACUUAGAACACUUUGAGGCGUUAUGGUGUAAAAUAGCUUGUGUUCUCAUUCUGAAGCUGUCUUGCUCUGUGUUAAAGCUAUUCAUUGUCUCAAUAUGUUUUCAAUAAACAUAUUUCUUUAGA